CGAAAGCCUGACGGAGCAAGACCGCGUGGGGGAGGAAGGCUCUAGGGUUGUAAACCCCUUUUCUUUGGGAAGAACAAAAUGACGGUACCAAAGGAAUCAGCCUCGGCUAACUCCGUGCCAGCAGCCGCGGUAAUACGGAGGAGGCAAGCGUUAUCCGGAUUUAUUGGGCGUAAAGCGUUCGCAGGUGGUUCUUCAAGUCUGCUGUCAAAACCCAGGGCUCAACUCUGGUCAGGCAGUGGAAACUACAUAGCUAGAGUUCGGUAGGGGCAAAGGGAAUUCCCGGUGUAGCGGUGAAAGGCGUAGAGAUCGGGAAGAACAUCGGUGGCGAAAGCGCUCUGCUGGGCCGCAACUGACACUCAGGGACGAAAGCUAGGGGAGCG
rnacentral:rRNA from 1 species